rnacentral:lncRNA from 1 species
GAUCUCUCCUCUAUUCAAAAUUCAAAAUUCAAAAUUCAAAAUGUUGUCUAAUACUCUCUCUCAAGUUGGAGUGUAGAGAUUACGAACGUCCAACUUGCACAAGAUAUCAUGGAAGUAAUCACGGCCAAGGGUUUUAAUAAAGAUGUUCACGAGUUGCUACUUGGAUGAGACAUAUCAAAUGGCAAUGUCACCGACUUAGAAA